rnacentral:rRNA from 1 species
UACGGAGGGUGCAAGCGUUAUCCGGAUUUACUGGGUUUAAAGGGUGCGUAGGUGGGCCUGUAAGUCAGUGGUGAAAUCUUCAAGCUUAACUUGGAAACUGCCAUUGAUACUAUAGGUCUUGAAUUAUCUGGAGGUAAGCGGAAUAUGUCAUGUAGCGGUGAAAUGCUUAGAGAUGACAUAGAACACCCAUUGCGAAGGCAGCUUACUACGGAUUGAUUGACACUGAGGCACGAAAAGCGUGGGGGAUCAAACAGG